rnacentral:rRNA from 1 species
UUCCUUUUUGGGCAUGGGGGCACCCUGCACCACGACGCCGCGUCUCUGAGAGUCUGCGGGCUCUAAUCACAUCUACUUGGGCUGAAAGCUCGGGGAUAACACCUCCGGCUCCUGACUAACCCACAGAAAAGCACCGGCUAACUCUCUGCCAGCAGCCGCGCUACUACAGAGGUGCAAGCCCUACUCGGACCACUGGGCGUAAAGCGUGCGUAGACGGUCACAUAAGUCGGGUGUGAAAGCCCCGGGCUCAACCUGGGACCUGCACUCGAGACUGCGUAGCUAGGGUGCGGAAGAGGGAACUGGAAUUUCCGGUGUAGCGGUGAAAUGCGUAGAUCUCGGAAGGAACCUCACUGGCGAAAGCGACUCUCCUGGUCCAGCACCGACCUUUAGCACGAAAGCGUGGGGAGCAAACAGGAUUAGAUCCCUGUUAGUCCACGCCCUAAACGCUGAGAACUAGACCUUGAGGGGGUAGCCUUCCCACUGUCGAAACCUACGCGAUAGUUCCUCCGCUUGGGGGAGUAC